GACGAACGCUGGCGGCGUGCUUAACACAUGCAAGUCGAACGGAAAGGCCCUGCUUUUGUUGGGUGCUCGAGUGGCGAACGGGUGAGUAAAACGCGUGUAACCUGUCCUUGACUUUGGGAUAACUUUACGAAACUGGGGCUAAUACCGGAUAGGAGCUCUUGCUGCAUGGUGGGGGUUGGAAAGUUUCGGCUGUUGGGGAUGGACUCGCAGCUUAUCAGCUUGUUUGUCAAGUAGUGGCUUACCAAGGCUUUGACGGGUAGGCGGCCUGAGAGGGUGACCGGCCACAUUGCGACUAAGGGACGGCCCAGUCUCGUACGGGAGGCAGCGGUGGGGAAUAUUGCACAAUGGGCGGGAGCCUGAUGCAGCAGCGCCGGGAGCGGGAUGACGGCCUUCGAGUUGUAAACCGCUGUCGCCUGUAACGAGGCGUGAGUGACGGUAAUGAGUAAAGAAGCACCGGCUAACUACGUG
rnacentral:rRNA from 1 species